rnacentral:rRNA from 1 species
AUUGAACGCUGGCGGCAGGCUUAACACAUGCAAGUCGAGCGGAGAUGAGGUGCUUGCACCUUAUCUUAGCGGCGGACGGGUGAGUAAUGCUUAGGAAUCUGCCUAUUAGUGGGGGACAACAUUCCGAAAGGAAUGCUAAUACCGCAUACGUCCUACGGGAGAAAGCAGGGGAUCUUCGGACCUUGCGCUAAUAGAUGAGCCUAAGUCGGAUUAGCUAGUUGGUGGGGUAAAGGCCUACCAAGGCGACGAUCUGUAGCGGGUCUGAGAGGAUGAUCCGCCACACUGGGACUGAGACACGGCCCAGUCUCCUACGGGAGGCAGCAGUGGGGAAUAUUGGACAAUGGGGGGAACCCUGAUCCAGCCAUGCCGCGUGUGUGAAGAAGGCCUUAUGGUUGUAAAGCACUUUAAGCGAGGAGGAGGCUACUGAGACUAAUACUCUUGGAUAGUGGACGUUACUCGCGGAAUAAGCACCGGCUAACUCCGUGCCAGCCGCCGCCGUAAAAC